CCUACGGAGGCAGCAGUGAGGAAUACUGGUCAAUGGACGCAAGUCUGAACCAGCCAUGCCGCGUGCAGGAUGACGGCUCUAUGAGUUGUAAACUGCUUUUGUACGAGGGUAAACCCCGAUACGUGUAUCGGGUUGAAAGUAUCGUACGAAUAAGGAUCGGCUCACUCCGUGCCAGCAGCCGCGGUAAUACGGAGGAUCCGACCGUUAUCCGGAUUUAUUGGGGUUAAAGGGUGCGUAGGCGGGUUGAUAAGGUAGAGGUGAAAUGUCGGGGCUCAACCCCGAAACUGCCUGUAAAACUGUGGAACUAGAGAGUGGGUGCGGUAGGCGGAAUGUGUGGUGUAGCGGUGAAAUGCAUAGAGAUCAUACAGAACACCGAUUGCGAAGGCAGCUUAC
rnacentral:rRNA from 1 species